AGAGAGCCAGCUGUCCUUUGACACUUUGAAGCCAGGCCUUGACUUCUCUCUAGCUAUGAAAGUUUUGAGCGCCAUCUACCUCCAAGACAGGCCAUCUUGUCUACAUUGA
rnacentral:miRNA from 14 species